GACGAACGCUGGCGGCGUGCUUAACACAUGCAAGUCGAACGGAAAGGCCCUGCUUUUGUGGGGUGCUCGAGUGGCGAACGGGUGAGUAACACGUGAGUAACCUGCCCUUGACUUUGGGAUAACUUCAGGAAACUGGGGCUAAUACCGGAUAGGAGCUCCUGCUGCAUGGUGGGGGUUGGAAAGUUUCGGCGGUUGGGGAUGGACUCGCGGCUUAUCAGCUUGUUGGUGGGGUAGUGGCUUACCAAGGCUUUGACGGGUAGCCGGCCUGAGAGGGUGACCGGCCAAAUUGGGACUGAGAUACGGCCCAGACUCCUACGGGAGGCAGCAGUGGGGAAUAUUGCACAAGGGGCGGAAGCCUGAGGCAGCAACGCCGGGGGCGGGAUGACGGCCUUCGGGUGGUAAACCGCUUUCGCCUGUGACGAAGCGUGAGGGACGGUAAUGGGUAAAGAAGCACCGGCUAACUACGU
rnacentral:rRNA from 1 species